rnacentral:rRNA from 1 species
GUGACAGCAGCCGCGGUAAUACGGAGGUUGCGAGCGUUGUUCGGAAUUACUGGGCGUAAAGGGAGCGCAGGCGGUUUGGUAAGUCUGGAGUGAAAGCACGGGGCUCAACCCCGUCGGGUCUUUGGAUACUGCCAAACUUGAGUACGUGAGAGGAGAGCGGAAUUCCAGGUGUAGCGGUGAAAUGCGUAGAUAUCUGGAGGAACAUCGGUGGCGAAGGCGGCAUCCUGGACCGGUAUUGACGCUGAGGCGCGAAAGCCAGGGGAGCAAACGGGAUUAGAAACCCCUGUAGUCC